AGCUAAGUGUUAAAGAACAAAUAGUGUUUAACAGCAUAGACAGCUGGAAGGUUGGCUUAGAGGCAGCCAUCCUUUAAAGAGUUCGUAACAGAUCACCAGUCAAGUUCUUGAGCCUAGAAAAUGGACGGGACUAAGUUGUUCACCGAUACUUUGGGCCACCGAAAGGUGAUGCGGUAGAGAGGCGUCGUGCGCGGGUGGAAGUGGGGCCGUGAGGUCCUGUGGACCGCGUUCGAAUGAUAAUCAUGGAAAUAGUAGUAGCGUAGAUGGGUGAGAAUCCCAUCCGCCGGAGGGGCUAGGGUUCCUCGACGAUGUUCAUCAGUCGAGGGUUAGUCGGUCCUAAGGUUCCCCCUAACAGGAGGAAUCGAAAGGGAAGCAGGUUAAAAUUCCUGCACCAAUUCAUAUUUUGUCCAGUUCCUGACACAUCGGGUCUUGUGGAGCACUCCUGUCUGAGUGUUGCCUUAAGCAAUAAAAUUGUGGAGUACCGUAAUGGUGAGAAGCAAACUAAGCUUUUGGGAGGCGAAGUAUUUCGCUUCUGCGUUAGCCUGGUGUCCGUGAAAAGGGAGCUGGAGCCGUAUGAGUUGUCCGUACCGAGAUCUGACACAGGUGCCCCUAGGUGAGUAGCCUAAGGCGUCGCGGCAGAAUCCGGGCGAGGGAAUUCGGCAAAUUAGCCCCGUACCUUUGGUAUAAGGGGUGCCAGCUCUGAAGAGAGCUGGUCGCAGUGACUAGGGAGCUCCGACUGUUUAUUAAAAACACAGGUGGCUGCUAGUCCGUAAGGAUGUGUAUAGCCGCUGAAUCCUGCCCAGUGGCAGUAUCUGAAACCAGGUUUCAACCUGACGAAGGACUGCUAAACGGCGGGGGUAACUAUGACCCUCUUAAGGUAGCGUAAUACCUUGUCGCUUAAUUGGCGACUUGCACGAACGGCCUAACGAGAGCUCUACUGUCCCCGCCCGGAGCCCGAUGAAAUUGACUUACUGGCGCACAGUCCAGUACGUCCCAGCCGCAAGCGAAGACCCCGUGGAGCUUUACUGCAACCUGCCGUUGUGGCACGAGUUGUUAUGUGUAGCGUAGACGGGAGACAUUACACAGGUGCGAGCGCUAGCUCGUCGCCGAGUCACCGAUGAAACACCGUCCUUUUCGAUUCGUCCCACUCACCUCUUCGGAGGAACCCCGGUAGGCGGGCAGUUUGGGUGGGGCGCCACUCCCUCGAAAAAAUAACAAGGGAGCCCAAAGGUCAGCUUAGGUAGGUCAGGAAUCUACCGUUAAGUGCAAGGGCAAAAGCUGGCUUGACGUGGUUUGGCAACACAACAAACCACGAUGCGAAAGCAGGGCCUAGCGAACCAACCAGCGCCGUUAGUAGGUGCGGUUGAUAACAGAAAAGUUACCCCGGGGAUAACUGAGUUGUCUGGAGCAAGAGCCCACAUCGACCUCCAGGCUUGCUACUUCGAUGUCGUCUCUUCCUAUCCUGGGUGUGCAGAAGCACCCAAGGGUGGGGUUGUUCGCCCAUUAAAAGGGAUCGUGAGAUGGG
rnacentral:rRNA from 1 species